rnacentral:rRNA from 1 species
GUAGGUGGCAAGCGUUGUCCGGAAUUAUUGGGCGUAAAGCGCGCGCAGGCGGUUCUUUAAGUCUGAUGUGAAAGCCCACGGCUCAACCGUGGAGGGUCAUUGGAAACUGGAGAACUUGAGUACAGAAGAGGAAAGCGGAAUUCCACGUGUAGCGGUGAAAUGCGUAGAGAUGUGGAGGAACACCAGUGGCGAAGGCGGCUUUCUGGUCUGUAACUGACGCUGAGGCGCGAAAGCGUGGGGAGCAAACAGGGAUUAGAUACCCUGGUAGUCCACGCCGUAAACGAUGAGUGCUAAGUGUUAGGGGGGUUUCCGCCCCCUUAGUGCUGCAGCUAACGCAUUAAGCACUCCGCCUGGGAGUACGGCCGCAAGGCUG